GGAGUUAUUACAUAAAUCAGAGUUUUUGGAGUAGCAAAUAAAGUUCACAAAUUAAAGUGCAGCGGAUAAUCGAUGUCGUCGGUAACGAGGAAAUGGGCAAGGCCUAGCCCACUACUCCUCAUGCUCCUCUCCUACCGGAGCAACAUCCCACUCGACCGUCCAACCCGGUGGCAGGGUGGUAGGCCAAGUCACACCAUCAACUACAUCCUGCAUGGUACCUGCAAAAAUGGUGCCACAAGCAAGGCUGAGUAUACUAAUACUCAGCUAGACUUAACCGGUGUGAGGAGUCUACUCCUCUACCUCUAGACUAUGCAGCUGUUUGGCUGAGGGGUUUGGUUUGCCAAAAGCACUAGCUGUUUCUAAAAUCAACUUUUAGCUUUUCAAUUUCUACCAUCAUUAUCUUAGCUAGAUUGGCUCCUUCUAAGCAUACAUGGUAACAAGCAAUUAGUUCAAUCAACAAGUUAUCUCAUGUAAUCCACAUUUCACUUCUUACUCGAUGCAGUACAAGGAAUCAAGCAGUCUCAUUAGCUGCGAGAAGCAGACGAUUCGAAUCGAGUUUUAACCUUGCAAGGUAAACCUAAACACACGGCAUGUCAGGGUACUCCGACCCCACACAUGACAACCGUCCCCAUCGAUUCCCCGUUCGCGUCCAGGCCUCACCGCCUUGGCAUACAAUGCCCCACUGACCCCGGCUGCCGCCGUGCAGUGACCGCACUUGUACCCACCAUAGCUAGCAUGGGAGACCCUGUCUCAGGUCGCAUGAGGGAUAAAGUCCGCGCCCGGCUUCACUCAGGUACUAGGUUUACCGGUUACCAUUUUUCCCGGCAUGUGCUUAGUACGUUCAAAGGCUUGACUCAGGUAUCCACACAUUAAUCCUUAAUUCAUUUUUCCCGUCUCAUGGACAAGGCAUCCUCCCUGGAUCCAAGUCCAUAGACCAACAUAUAUCCCAUUAUCAAGAUGAAUACAAUCAAUUCCUGACCUCGCGCGAGUGCUAGAAAAAUCACUCGACUUCUACCGAGAUCCUGAUUAGCAAGCAGCUACUCGACCUAGCAUACUAGUAUUCAUCUCAAAAAGGAGUCCUAAGUUCAUGCAACUAGAGGUUUCAAGCAACUCCUACACUUAAGUGCACAUUACAGUCCUACAAGCAUUAAGUGUAGUAAAGUAGCAUAUAUUAACAUGGUUAUGCAUAAAACCGGGGCUUGCCUUCAAUUGCUGGGGCUGCGGGGAGAUCCUCAAUAGCAGCCUCUGAAGCCUGCUCCUGGUCCUCCUCUUGGACAGGUCCUUGCUCGGGGAUGAGCACGUACUCUCCGUCGGCAAGAUUACAAUCUAAUGAAUGCAAUGCGUAAGAUAUAUGCAUGAUACAAUAUGUGCUUUAGAAUUUACAACUUUUAAAAAAUGUAGGGUCUUUAGAAUUUAAGCAAGUUAACCUUACUUAUGUAAAACCUUUUAGUGGUAUACUUGGUAAAUUGGGUUAGUUUUAAUGGGAUGAGGUUUAUUCCUCCUUUUCUUUUCUUUUAUUCCUUUUUAAUGUUUUGGAGUAGGUUUGAACUACAAGUUGCUUUUAUAGAAUUCCAAAAAUUCUGCAAAAAUUACAGGGGCUUGUUACUGGUGUAUGAUUCUCUGUCUCAAAAUUUGGGGUUCAGAAAGUGAAUGGUUUUCUCUGGACAAAAUUGCCAAAUCUUAAGGCAGAAGGGGUACUUUGAACUACAACUAUUAUUUAACAGUGGGUAAUUCUUUAAAACUUAUUUUUGCUGGCUUUUAGGUGUCAUAACAUGACUUGAUACAAAUUUCUAGUCAUUAAUACCUUUUAAUUCUUUUCCUAUGGUUUUCUUAAGGUUUCUAGCCAAAGGGGUGCUUUCUACUACCACUAUGUUUGAAAAACAUCAAACAACAGAGUUCUUAUUUUUUCUUAGCUAGUAUUUUGUGCAAGAGCAAUCAUUCUGGAGUUUGGUUUCUUUUUGCUUAAGGGAAGGGGUGGUUUGCAUUAUUUAAGUCAAAUGGCCUUUCUCACAAAUUGCUAGCAAAAGGCAUGGGUUCACUUCUUUUUCAUGGGUUUGUAUUUUUCUCUGGUGGUUUAUCUCAUCAUGGACUUAGCUAAUUUUUGGUUGCCCAUUAUCUCAUUAUUUGAGGUUGUUUAUGAUUUAUUGGGAAAAUGCCUUAUUACCACUUUGUAUUUAUUUUCCUUACUUAAAAAGUUAGGCUGGGGUGCUCUGUAUUUUUGUAGUGGGGCUCUGGUGGUUAUAAGUUCACUGGAUUUUUGUUAACCAUUUUGGUUAUGGUUUUGCAAUUUUAAUAAUUGAUUUUCAGUCUACAUAAGGCUGAUUAAAGCAUCUUAAUUAGAAACUGGUCCUAAUUAAUGGUCUCUGCAUUUUUCCUAGGUUCUUGGUUGCAUAAGUAAACUAGGAAAAAUAUUACUAAUCAUUGUUCAACAUUUUCUAAUGCUUUUCUGAUUUUCUCUAAGUUGUGGACAAAAUGGCUUUAAAUGAACAACUACAUCAUAAUCUCUAAUGCUGGGGAUUCUACUAUUUUUAAACAAUGUCUAAUUAGGGUAUAAGCAUCUACAAAUUUUCUUAAGCUCAGUACAGAAGAAAAACUAAUUUUCCUUAAUUAAACAAGGUUUAGGGGGUUUCUGUUUUUAAUUUUAAGCUCUAAAAUUUAGAACAGAAAGCAUAUGGUUCAAUAAUUUUAAAUGAUAGAUCAUAAUAUUCCAGAGCUAGCAAAAUUGGUUUGACAGCUUUUCAUUAAGAUUUCAUCAAGUUAUGAAUUUUCUAAGUUCUUUGGUUAUUUAAAAAGAAUAACAGAAUUGAUAAAAGGGAAAAACCACUUUGCACUGGGGUCCCUGGCGGUUUUUCUAAGUUUUCCUCGCGAAUCAGUCCUUAGGUUACUAUUCAUAUGAGUCGCUGACAUUACAGAAAACCCCUCGGGUUCUACAGAACCUAACCCGAGGUCCUUCUUCUACCUCAAACAGUAGUCGUGGCGAAGAAAAGGGCGGAGGGGCUUACCGGCGGCGAGACUGUUCCGGUGAAGUGGUCGAGGGCGAAGGGGAGGUCGCGGGGAUCACAACGGUGUGCGGAACGUCAACGGAGAUGGCCGGAGUUGGUCGGUCCACGCGCGCAGGCGGGGAUGCUCGUCGGCGGCGAGGAGACCGGCCUGGUCACGGCGAGAUAGUUCAAUCAAAAGGGUCAGGGAGAUCCACGGGAUGCCAGAGAAGACAUGAGCGAAAGGAAUUGGGCGGAGACUCACUGGAUAGCUCGGUCCACGCGCGGCGGCGGAAGACCGAAGUCCGGUGAGGUUGAUCUCGGGCCUCCGGUGAAGUCCGGUCGGGUCCGAGGGCUUGGCGAGCUUCACGAGCUACUGGCGGAGCUAGCCGAAGCACAGGUUGGGCUGGAGGGCGGCUGGAGUGGGCUGGCCACGGCGGCCGUAGCUCUGGCGGCAAUGGCGGGCGGAAAUACGCUCGCCGGAGCUAAGGAACGGUGGCUGGCCGAUGAGGGUGAGUGCGGGGCGAAGAGAGGUGCGCCCGGGGAGGCUUUAUAGGCGCGGGCGGGCACGACCGAGGGCGUGGGCGCGCGGCGGACUUGACCGGACGCCGGGGCGAGCGCGCGCGCGGGUUGGGCGAGCUCUGGCGUGCCGACCAGGGUCGAACACGUGUGCCCGUGCGUUCUGCCCAAGCUCUGGCGCGUGUGGUCGCUCAUCCGAGCCUGCUCUCGCCUGGGUCAGUGCACAAAACCUCUUCUCCUCCCUACAAGCUACCAUUCUUGUGUGGAGGUCAUAGGAUUUUGCCUACUGGUUGCAGAGAUAUGGAGCCAGGAAAUCUGGUCUGUCUCCCUGCCCAAACCCGAGGCAAAUCCCACGUUUUGUCGUGUCUAGGGCUCGCGUCCCAAUGCCAUCUUCUGGCACACGACAGAGGGGUUAGUUAGACACAAAUUUGUCAAUGGGGCCAUUAGGAUUCGAGUUAGGGAUCAAGGUGAACAUCCCUGAUCUUUGGCUCAAGGUCUGAAUUUCAGAAUUCUGAAAUUCAGAAUUCCCAAUGAGUCCCAACAAAAGAAGCUUGAUUUGGGGGUUUUCUUGAAUUAUUUUGGCUAAGCUUUCUCAAUCUAUCUUGUUGCUUAUCAAAUAUACUUUAACUUAUAUUAUUGGCUCAACUCAAAAUUUUAAACUUUUCAUUCCCUUUUGCUUAUUUUCUUGAAUUUUGUUCAUGGGGUUCACUUAGAGUUCUUAAUUAGGGUUGCACAUUCUUAUCUUUUCAAGGACUCAAUUGUUUUGGUCAUGACACUUUUAAACAUAUACUUGGUGAAUUCUUUGUCACUUAAGUUAUUUUGAUGCUCAUGCUUACUUUGGUUCACAGGAAGUAAUGGCUCUUGGUGUGGCUUUUUAAGAGAAACCCUAGGUGACACUGGGGUGUCACACCGAGCCCCUGGGUCGGGCGAGGCGGAGGUUGUUCGGCAGAGGCCAGGGCGGAGUCCGAGCCCUGGGGUCGGGCGAAGCGGAGUUCGUCGUCUUCUGGGGCUGAGCCCAAGUUCGAGCCCUGGGUCGGGCGGAGCGGAGUUCGCCGUCUUCCGGGACUUAGCCCGAGUCCGAGCCCUGGGUCGGGCGGAGCGGAGUUCGCCGUCUUCCGGGACUUAGCCCGAGUCCGAGCCCUGGGUCGGGCGGAGCGGAGUUCGCCGUCUUCCGGGGCUUAGCCCGAGUCCGAGCCCUGGGUCGGGCGGAGCGGAGUUCGCCGCCUUCCGGGACUUAGCCCGAGUCCGAGCCCUAGGUCGAGCGAAGCGGAGUUCGCCGUCUUCCGGGGCUUAGCCCGAGUCCGAGCCUUGGGUCGGGCGGAGCGGAGUUCCCUAUGGCGCCUUUGGCAAGGCCUGACUGCCUGUCAGUCUCACUCUGUCAAGUGGCACUGCAGUCGGAGUGGCGCAGGCGGCGCUGUCCUUCUGUCAGACCGGUCAGUGGAGCGGCGAAGUGACGGCGGUCACUUCGGCUCUGCCGGGGGGCGCGCGUCAGGAUAAAGGUGUCAGACUACCUUUGCGUUAAAUGCUCCUGCGACUCGGUCGGUCAGCGCGGCGAUUUAGUCAGGGUUGCUUCUUAGCGAAGGCAAAGCCUCGGGCGAGCCGAAGAUGUGUCCGCCGUUAAAGGGGGGCCUCGGGCGAGACGGAAAUCCCUCGGAGUCUGCUGCCCUUGCCCGAGGCUAGGCUCGGGCGAGGCGUGAUCGAGUCGCUCGUAUGGACUGAUCCCUGACUUAUUCGCACCCAUCAGGCCUCUGCAGCUUUAUGAUGAUGGGGGUUACCAGCUGAGAAUUAGGCGUCUUGAGGGUACCCCUAAUUAUGGUCCCCGGCAGUAGCCCCCGAGCCUCGAAGGGAGUGUUAGCACUCGCUUGGAGGCUUUCGUCGCACUUUUUUGCAAGGGGACCAGCCUUUCUCGGUUGCAUUUUGUUUCGGUGGGUGCGCGCUAGCGCACCCGCCGGGUGUAGCCCCCGAGGCCUCGGAGGAGUGGUUUCACUCCCCCGAGGUCUUAAUGCCUUGCGUAAUGCUUCAGCUGGUCUGGUUGUUCCCUCAUGCGAACUGGCCGUAGCCCAGGUGCACGGUCGGGGCCCAAGUUCUCGGGCUGGUAUGUUGACACUGUCCACGGUUCGGCCGGAGCCGGGUUUGCGAGAGCAGCCCCCGAGCCUCCGCACAGGGCGAGAGGGCGAUCAGGGACAGACUCGGCUUUUUUACAUACGCCCCUACGUCGCCUUUCCGCAAUGAGGAGGGGGGAGAGCGCCAUGUUACCCUCGAUGGGCACCGAACAUGGUAUCUCCGGUGAGCUGCAAGCGGGUAAUCCGAGUGGACGUCCGUGCCCCGUUCGUUGGGGGGCUAGGGGCCCAGAGGCACGCCCAAAAGUACCUGUGGGUGAUCUGCCGGACCCGGUCCCCUGGCGACGGGGUCCGAGGGCUCGAUGCCUCUCUCCGAUGGGAUUCCGUUACAAGAUCGCUCCCGCUGGUCUCGGAAAUGUCCUAGGGUACCUCGGGAGCGCAGCCCGAGCCUUGGUUAUGUAUCGAACGUACCCCUGGUCAUCCCUCGCUCGGCGUCUGAGGCGACUGUGAACCCUUCGGGGGCCAGCCUUCGAACCCCUGAUCAGUAAUGGGCGCGGAGCCCGAGUAGCCUGAGGCGGCCGUGGAGCCCUUCGGGGGGCUGGCCUUCGAACCUCUGACCAGUAGUGGGUGUAGGGCCCACGCGAUCUGAGGCGACUGUUGAACCCCUCGGGGGGCCAGCCUUCGAACCUCUGAUCAGUAGGGGGGCUCGGAGCCCGGUUCCUUCACAGGGAAGGAUCCUUUUUGGGGUAUCCCCCUUUCCCGGUCUCUGUUGCAAGAGAUAGAGAAAGAGGAAAAAAGGAAAAGGAUACGAAAUCGAACGACGUGGCGUACCUAUUUUGGCACGGUUAUUGCGGCGAAGGCGAAGCGUCGCCCGCUUCUCCUGCCAGAAGCGCCGCCUGUCCCGCCGCGGAGUUAAUGCGACGGGGCGAGUUGUUGGCAGGGCGGCCGUUGCGCGUGCGCGAGCCGUUCGAGGAACGGAUCACGGGCGCCCUGUCUUCACGCCGUGAGAGGGGGCUCUCUUGCUGCCCCCGGACGGGACGUGAGUCUGGCCGACGACGUGACCGCUGCUCCCGCCCGCCUGCCACCGUCAUUACUGCCGGCCCACUUUCGGCCGUAUUGACCGUCGCGCCAGGCUGGCGCUGUUGGGUCGUGCGCUGGGCCGCCUCGAGUCGCGGUAUUGGUUCCGCAACCGAAGAGGCGCGGUGGUGGCCCAAGUGGCGGUGCAGUUGCUUGCAUGCAGCAUCUGGCGCGCCGGUUGCGUGACACGUGGGCCUGGGCCUCCAUGCUGGCAUGUUGGGAGUCGGAGAAGCGCGUCCACCUGGCGCGAUUGCAUGCCUCCUGCAUGGCUGCCUGCCCCUUCCGCCCGUUGGUCUGGGCAAAAGUGGGGGGUCGCUUGUAACUGCUGGGCGGUUGUGUGCACCAUGCGCGGCGGUUUGGCUUCUUCUGCUCUGAGCCGGUUUGCAUGACACGCGGGACCCAGCCCCCGCGCCGCAGGGAAGGGCCUUGGAGCGUGUUGGAGAAGACUCAGCCCGUGACGUUUGGGGGCGCACGUAGGGAGAGUUGCCUUUAAAAGGAGGGCGACCCCUUUCGGAAGGCGACCAUGUCUUCUUGCUCCCUUAUGCGUCGCGUCUUUCCACCUUCCAAGCCCCCGGAUGGGGGGUACCCACCGUCUUUUCGCCUCAUCGUUGGAGGAACGCAACUCCGUGGGAGUUGGUACCUUUCAGCCAUCGUUCGGCUUCAAGGAUUUUCAUCGUGCAGCCCGGCUGCACCCCUCCACCGGUGGUCACCCAAGAUGGUGACCUCCAGCUUGAUGGUGGGGGAAAGCGAGCCGGGCUGCGGCCUCUCCCCCUCCCUCAGCCUCAAGGAUUUUCAUCACCAAGGCUGGGGAGGGGAGUGUGCCGAGUUGGGGUCGGCCCCUGCGUGGGCGGUGGCCCGCUCCUUCACUCAGUGAUGGGAGGGAGGAGCGGUUGUCGUCCGUGGCGCUGGCAGCUGCAGCGUGCCCGGCUUUCGGACGCGAGUGGCUUCGGAGCCGCUCGCGGCGCCGGCGUCUGCCACGGCAGCUGGAAGAGGUUCUUCCGCCGGCGUGAUAGCCAAGGCUGGCCACAGACCGACCUCUAACUCUACGGCCUUCUGCCCGUCCUUGCCUUACGAGUUUUGGCAUGGGCGGGGGCCUCCUAGCAGCAGCACCCGCCCUGAGGUCAGUGCUGCCGCUGUUCGGCCCCCUGGAGCAGAAGUCGUCGUCGUCGCUGCUGCUGGAGCAGGUGACGGCGCGCCGUUCGUCGGUCUUCCGUUGCUCCGCAGGCCUUCCCCCAUGGAGUGGGGUUGUUCGUACCUGCGGAGGGGGAACCGGAGUUCCGUUUGUAAUGGCACUUUGAAUGCCAGUGUUUUUGUUCAUUAUGGCUGUCGAGGCCUGAACAUGUAUGUAAUUUUGGCACGAAGCCGUGUUUUUUCCUCAUUUUCGAGCACUAAGACUCGCCUGUUGAUUAUUUGAACCGCUUCACCAAGCAUGAGUCGCCCCGUGUCAAGGUGACGAGUGAGGUAUCCGUAUCCCGGAGGCGUAGGAGUCCCUCGGCUCGAUCGGCCUUGUUGUCUGAGGCUCCUCUAGCUUAGUUAAAGAGACCCCUUGGCCGCACUUCGACGAGCCGAGGCCAGGGGUAGCGAUAUCAGCACGAACAGAGGCGGAGUUGGCUCGAAAAUGAAAACCUGGUUGGCCGGAGCCUAGUCGGGUUGUCCGUCAGCGGGACCGAUGCCGGAGUUGAUCAGCCGAGGCCUUAGACCGGGCUGGCGCCCUCGGAGGAUGGUUGGCCGAGGCCCCUGGGGUAACCGACCGAGCCGCCUGCUCGGGCCGGAUUCCCGGAGAAGUCCCUGGACCGCGUCGCCAUCCGAGGCCCGGUCGGACCUCACUGAAGGUGUCGUCGAUGCCGAGGGUGCUACAGCCCCCUUCCAGCGUGAAGACCCGAGCCUGCAGGAUCAGAUUGUCUUGUAGCGUGUGCCUUCUGCGGCCGCUGAGGCCAGAAAACACACCCUCGCUGCGUUGUAAAGCUGCGUCUCCUUUCCUCUUAUUUCGAGCAUCUGGACUUUUUUGUCGGUAACAGGGAUGUUUGUGCGAGCGAGAGUUGCUUCUCGCGGAAGGUGAUGAGUGAGGUAUCCGUAUCCCGGAGGCGUGGGAGUCCCUCGGCUCGGUCGGCCUUGCCGCUUACGCGUACUUUCACCCGUCCAUGAGGCCCUGUCACCGAUUCAGUCGAGAAGGCUCGAAGGAUCGCUUCGGCAGAAGAGCUUCCGAACGUAAAGACUUGUUCGGUCCGCGGAAUCACUUUAUCCGAACGCGAGUUACUUAUCGCAGAAGGUGAUGAGUGAGGUAUCCGUAUCCCGGAGGCGUAGGAGUCCCUCGGCUCGGUCAGCCUUGGCUACUUACGUGUACUCCGUCGUUUUCAGGAUCCGCUUUUCGAAGUAGUCAAAAAGCACGAAAGAUAUUCUGCUAAAAGAGAUCUUUUUUCGAGGAAAAUUUCGACGCAGAGGGGAUCCCCCCCUUUUAGCCCCCGAGGGAGGGUCGGGCUUUGCCGAGGCGAGGCCGACCCUUCCUUGAUGACUAAACUUUGCGUGGGUGCAAGGUAUAUGAACAACUUGAAAACAUCUUAAGGGUAGAAGCGACGUAGCUGUUGGAUGUUCCAAGCGUUGUCGUAGAUCUCGCCUUGAUUGUUGGCCAGCUUGUACGUUCCGGGCUUCAGAACUUUGGCGAUGACGAAUGGCCCCUCCCAGGGGGGCGUGAGCUUGUGCCUCCCUCGGGCGUCUUGCCGCAGCCGAAGCACCAGGUCGCCCAACUGGAGGUCUCGGGGCCGGACCCCUCGGGCGUGGUAGCGUCGCAGGGACUGCUGGUACCGCGCGGAGUGUAGUAAGGCCUUGUCCCGAGCCUCUUCAGCUGGUCCAGCGAUUCUUCUCAGCUAGCUUGGUUGCUUUGAUCGUUGUAGGCCCUCGUCCUCGGGGAGCCGUAUUCCAGGUCAGUGGGUAAGAUGGCCUCGGCCCCGUAGACCAGGAAGAACGGUGUGAAACCCGUGGCUCGGCUCGGCGUUGUCCUCAGGCUCCAGACCACCGAGGGGAGUUCCUUCAUCCAUCGCUUGCCGAACUUGUUGAGGUCGUUGUAAAUCCGGGGCUUGAGCCCUUGCAGAAUCAUGCCGUUGGCACGCUCUACUUGCCCAUUCGACAUGGGAUGAGCCACGGCGGCCCAAUCCACCCGGAUGUGGUUAUCCUCGCAAAAAUCCAAGAAUUUUCUGCCGGUGAACUGGGUACCGUUGUCGGUGAUGAUGGAGUUUGGGACCCCGAAGCGAUGGAUGAUGUUGGUGAAGAACGCCACCGCCUGCUCGGACCUGGUGCUGUUCAGGGGUCGGACCUCGAUCCACUUGGAGAAUUUGUCGAUGGCGACCAGCAGGUGCGUGUAGCCCCCGGGCGCCUUCUGCAAGGGACCGACGAGGUCCAGACCCCACACAGCAAAGGGCCAGAUGAUGGGUAUCGUCUGCAGAGCCUGAGCGGGCAGGUGGGUCUGCUUCACAUAGAAUUGGCAUCCUUCGCAGGUGCGGACAAUUCUAGUGGCGUCAGCCACCGCCGUUGGCCAGUAGAAGCCUUGCCGGAAAGCAUUCCCGACAAGGGCUCGAGGCGCUGCAUGAUGGCCGCAAGCCCCCGAGUGUAUUUCUUGCAGGAGUUCCUGACCUUCGGCGAUGGAGAUGCAUCGCUGGAGGAUGCCCGAUGGGCUGCGGUGGUAGAGCUCCUCCUCAUCGCCCAGCAAGACGAACGACUUGGCGCGUCGCGCUAUCCGCCGAGCCUCGGCUUGGUCGAGGGGUAGCUCUCCUUGGCGGAGAUAUUGCAGGUACGGGGUCGGCCAAUUUUGAUCAGGCAUGGCCCCGCUCUGCUCCUCCUCGACACGCAGUGCCUCGCCCUCGGGGGCCGAGGGUACCUCGGGCUGAACCGAGGGCGCCUCGGGCUGAGCCGAGGGUACCUCGUGCUGGACCGAGGGUGCCUCGGGCUCGGGCGUGUCAUUGAUCUUGACAGAGGGUUGAUGCAGAUCCUGAGAGAAGACGUCCGGGGGAACCGUCGUUCGCCCCGAGGCUAUUUUUGCCAGCUCGUCCACAGUCUCGUUGUAGCGCCGAGCGAUGUGGUUAAACUCGAGCCCGUAGAACUUGUCUUCCAGGCGCCAAACCUCAUCGCAGUAGGCCUCCAUCUUCGGGUCGCGGCAGUGGGAGUUCUUCAUGACUUGGUCGAUGACGAGCCGCGAGUCACCGCGGGCGUCGAGGCGUCUGACCCCUAGCUCGAUGGCGAUCUGCAACCCAUUGACCAGAGCCUCGUACUCAGCCACAUUGUUGGACGCCGGGAAAUGGAGGCGUAGCACGUAGCGUAGGUGUUUCUCGAGGGGCGAGAUGAAGAGCAGGCCCGCGCCGGCUCCCGUCUUCAUCAGCAACCCGUCGAAAAACAUGGUCCAGAGCUCCGGUUGGAUCGGAGCCGUCGGCAGCUGGGUGUCGACCCAUUCGGCUACGAAGUCCGCCAAUACCUGGGACUUGAUGGCCUUCCGAGGGGCGAACGAGAUUGCCUCGCCCAUGAUUUCCACCGCCCACUUUGCGAUCCUGCCCGAGGCCUCUCGGCACUGGAUGAUCUCCCCCAGGGGGAAGGAUGACACCACAGUUACCGGAUGAGACUCGAAGUAAUGUCGCAACUUUCGCCUCGUCAGGAUCACUGCAUAAAGCAGGUUCUGAACUUGUGGGUAGCGGAUCUUGGUUUCGGACAGUACCUCGCUGACGAAGUAAACUGGCCUCUGAACGGGCAAUGCAUGCCCCUCUUCUUGCCUCUCGACCACAAUCGCGGCGCUAACCCCUGAGUGGUCGCGGCGACGUAGACCAAGAGGGCUUCUCCAUCAGCUGGGGGUACCAAGAUAGGCGCCUUUGUAAGGAGCGCCUUCAGGUUCCCGAGAGCUUCCUCGGCCUCAGGGGUCCAAGCGAAACACUCGGCCUUCCUUAACAGGCGGUACAGAGGCAGACCUCUUUCGCCGAGGCGUGAGAUGAAGCGGCUCAGGGCCGCGAGGCAUCCCAUGACCCUCUGUACGCCUUUUAAGUCCUUGAUGGGCCCCAUGCUGGUGAUAGCUGCGAUCUUCUCCGGGUUGGCUUCGAUGCCUCGCUCAGAGACGAUGAACCCCAAGAGCAUGCCCCGGGGCACCCCGAAGACACACUUCUCGGGAUUGAGCUUGACGCCUUUCGCUUUGAGACAUCGGAAUGUCACUUCAAGGUCGGAGAGGAGGUCGGAAGCCUUCCUUGUCUUGACUACGAUGUCAUCGACGUAGGCCUCGACUGUGCGACCGAUGUGUUCGCCGAACACAUGGUUCAUGCACCACUGGUACAUCGCGCCCGCAUUCCUCAAACCGAACGACAUGGUGACAUAGCAGUACAUGCCGAAGGGCGUGAUGAAAGAAGUCGCGAGCUGGUCGGACUCUUUCAUCCGGAUUUGGUGAUACCCUGAGUAGGCAUCGAGGAAGGACAGGGUUUCGCACCCAACAGUGGAAUCCACGAUUUGAUCGAUGCGAGGCAGAGGGUAGGGAACCUUCGGACAUGCUUUGUUGAGACCAGUGUAGUCCACACACAUCCGCCAUUUCCCCCCUUUCUUUCUCACAAGCACAGGGUUGGCAAGCCAUUCGGGAUGGAAUACCUCUUUGAUGAACCCUGCUGCCAUUAGCUUGUGGAUCUCCUCGCCUAUCACUCUGCGCUUCUCCUCGUCGAAUCGGCGCAGAGGCUGCCUGACGGGUCGGGCUCCAGCCCGAAUAUCCAGCGAGUGCUCGGCGACAUCCCUCGGUAUGCCGGGCAUGUUCAAGGGACUCCACGCAAAGACGUCGGCGUCUGCGUGGAGAAAGUCGACGAGCACUACUUCCUAUUUGGGGUCGAGCCCGGAACCGAUCCGGAUCUGCUUGGAGGUGUCGCCACUGGGGUCGAGAGGGACGGCCUCAACCGUCUCCGCUGGCUCGAAGUUGCCGGCAUGACGCUUGACGUCUGUCACCUCUUUGGAGAGGUUCUCUAGGUCGGCGAUGAGGGCCUCGGACUCGGCGAGGGCCUCGGCGUACUCCACGCACUCCACGUCGCAUUCGAACGCGUGUUUGUACGUGGGGCCGAUGGUGAUGACCCCGUUGGGGCCCGGCAUCUUGAGCUUCAGGUAGGUGUAGUUGGGGACGGCCAUGAACUUCGCGUAGCAUGGCCUCCCCAGUACCGCGUGGUAGGUUCCUCGGAACCCGACCACCUCGAACGUCAAAGUCUCCCUUCGGAAGUUGGAGGGCGUUCCGAAGCAGACGGGAAGGUCGAGUCGUCCGAGGGGCUGGACGCGCUUCCCAGGAAUGAUCCCGUGGAAGGGCGCAGCGCCUGCUCGGACGGAGGACAGAUCAACGCGCAGGAGCCUGAGGGUCUCGGCGUAGAUGAUGUUGAGGCAGCUGCCCCCGUCCAUCAGGACCUUGGUGAGCCUGACGUCGUCGACGAUGGGGUCGACGACGAGCGGGUAUUUCCCCGGGCUCGGCACGUGGUCGGGGUGGUCAGCUUGGUCGAAGGUGAUGGGCUUGUCGGACCAGUCUAGGUAGACUGGCGCCGCCACCUUCACCGAGCAGACCUCCCGACGCUCUUGCUUGCGAUGCCGAGCCGAGGCAUUCGCCGCAUGCCCACUGUAGAUCAUGAAGCAGUCGCGGACCUCGGGGAACUCUCCUGCUUGGUGAUCUUCCUUUUUGUCGUUGUCGUGGGCCCUGCCACCCUCCGCGGGUGGCCUGGCCCUAUGGAAGUGGCGCCGAAGCAUGACGCACUCCUCAAGGGUGUGCUUGACGGGCCCCUGAUGAUAGGGGCACGGCUCCUUGAGCAUCUUGUCGAAGAGGUUAGCACCUCCGGGGGGCUUCCGAGGGUUCUUGUACUCGGCGGCGGCGACAAGGUCCGCGUCGGCGGCGUCGCGUUUCGCUUGCGACUUCUUCUUGCCUUUCUUCUUGGCGCCGCGCGGAGUAGACGCCUCGGGAGCCUCUUCCGAUGGGCGGCCCUGGGGCUGCUUGUCCUUUCGGAAGAUAGCCUCGACCGCCUCCUGGCCAGAGACGAACUUGGUGGUGAUGUCCAUCAGCUCGCUCGCCCUGGUGGGGGUCUUGCGACCCAACUUACUCACCAGGUCGCGGCAGGUGGUGCCGGCAAGGAACGCGCCGAUGACAUCCGAGUCGGUGAUGUUGGGCAGCUCGGUGCGCUGCUUCGAGAAUCGCCGGAUGUAGUCCCGAAGAGACUCUCCCGGCUGUUGCCGGCAGCUUCGGAGGUCCUAGGAAUUCCCGGGGCGCACGUACGUGCCCUGGAAAUUGCCGGCGAAGGCUUGGACCAAAUCAUCCCAGUUGGAGAUCUGCCCCGGAGGUAGGUGCUCCAACCAGGCGCGAGCAGUGUCGGAGAGGAACAGGGGGAGGUUGCGGAUGAUGAGGUUGUCGUUGUCCGUUCCACCCAGUUGGCAGGCCAGGCGGUAGUCUGCGAGCCACAGUUCCGGUCUCGUUUCCCCCGAGUACUUCGUGAUAGUAGUCGGGGGUCGGAACCGGGUCGGGAACGGCGCCAGUCGGAUGGCCCGACUGAAGGCCUGCGGACCGGGUGGUUCGGGCGAGGGACUCCGAUCCUCCCCGCUGUCGUAGCGUCCCCCACGCCUGGGGUGGUAGCCUCGGCGCACCCUUUCGUCGAGGUGGGCCCGACGGUCGCGACGAUGGUGCUCGUUGCCGAGGUGGCCCGGGGCCGCAGGCGCGGUGUUGCGCGUGCGCUCGGUGUAGACCGAGGCUUCCCGCAUGAAUCGGGAAGUCGCGGCAUGAGGUUCCGAGGGGUAUCCCUGCCUCCGGGAGGCAGUGCUCUCGGCCCGUCGGACCGCAGCGCCUUCCAGGAGAUUCUUGAGCUCUCCUUGGAUUCUCCGACCCUCGGCGGUUGAUGGCUCCGGCAUCGCGCGGAGGAGCAUCGCUGCGGCUGCCAGGUUCUGACCGACCCCACUGGAUGCAGGUGGCGGCCUGACCCUGACGUCGUUGGCGACGCGGUGCUGGAAACCCUGGGGCAGGUGACGUAUUUCUCCGGCUGGGGGUUGGCCCGCCCAUACCUGCCCGACGUCCCGGCGGAUCGACUCAAGCGCUCUUGCUCCCUCGUCGAGCCUGGCCUGCGCCCCGCGGACUUGCUCGAGCUGUGGGUCGUGACCCCCCGCCGGAACGGGGACCACAGCUAGCUCCCGCGGGAUGUCAGCGCGAGGCACCGGCCUAGGGAGAUCACCGUCCUCCGGCAUGCCGAGAUGGUUGCCUUCGGAGGGAUCCCCUAGCUCGACGUGGAAACAUCCGCGGCUUGGGCCGCAGUCCUCGUCGUCAAGGCUGCGGCUACCGUCGGAACAGUCGGAGAGGCAGUAGUCACAUGCGGUCAUAAAGUCCCGCAUGGCACUGGGGUUGCCAAAUCCAGAGAAAUCCCAACAGAUGCUGGGAUCGUCAUCUUCCUCGGACCCAGAGGGCCCGUAGGUCGAGACGUCCGUCAAUCGGUCCCAAGGCGACCGCAUACGAAACCCCAGAGGGGUUGCACUCGCCUCAACGAGAGCGCCCGCCAAAGCGAGGUCGCUAGGCGGGUUGAGGCCGAGUCGAAAUGACGUAGGAUGGGAAUCAGUCAGUACCUUUUGGUCGACGAGGAGCGACAUAGUCACGUCGGGGACUGAUUGCACCGUCGUCUUAGGUACGAGGGCGACGUCCUGCAGGCUCUCCGCGAGCGCGCUGGCGUCGUCCACUUGCUCGGGAUUGGUGUGUCGCGGGGGGACGGCGCUCGCCUCCGUCUCAAACGCGAGGUCGUCGCCCGACGCGCCCCCCGUUGGGGCGCUGGGGACGUCGAUUCGCUCGACAGCCGACGAAGCGCGGCCUCCCGCUUGGCCUUGGUUGCCCCGCCUCCUCCUCCGUUGGCGGGGGAGAGGACGGGGCGAGCUCGAAUGUUGUUCUUCCACCACGCGGGGAAGAUGUCGUCGAUUCCGCCGCCGGCGGGCGGGUUGUCGGCCGCCAUUGUCGUUGUCGCGCGGCGGUGGAAGGAGUAUCAUGUCGUAGCUGCCGUCGAAGGACAUGAACUCAAGACUCCUGAAACGGAGCACCGUCCCGGGCCGAAGAGGUUGCUGGAGACUGCCCAUCUGGAGCUUGACGGGAAGUUGUUCGUCAGCACGCAGCAGGCCCCUACCUGGCGCGCCAACUGUCGGCGUCUCGAGACCGGGGGGUCCCUAAGCCGACGAGUGAGUGUGCCGCGUGCCCCAGCCCAGAUGGGUCGAGCGCGUGGGCGAGCGCGAAGGGGGAAGCGAGGUGGCCGGAGACGGGCGUGAGAGAGGUGGAAAUCCCGCGGCCUUCGUGUUCGUCCCGCGCCCAGGUCGGGUGCGCUUGCAGUAGGGGGUUACAAGCGUCCACGCGGGUGAGGGAAGCGAGCGGCCCCAAGAGAGCGCAUGUCCCGUCCUCAUCCCCGCGCGGCCAACCUUCUCUAAGAAGGCCCUGGUCCUUCCUUUUAUAGGCGUAAGGAGAGGAUCCAGGUGUACAAUGGGGAUGUAGCAGAGUGCUACAUGUCUAGCGGAGGGAGAGCUAGCGCCCUAAGUACAUGCCAAUGUGGCAGCCGGAGAGAUCUUGGCACCCUGCUAGUGUGAUGUCGUGGCUGUCGGAGGAGCAAUGGAGCCUGGCGGAGGGACAACUGUCGGAGCGGUCGAGUCCUUGCUGACGUCCCCCUGCUUCCGUAAGGGAGCUGAGAGCCGCCGUCGUCACAGGGCUUGCGGGGCGCCAUCAUUGCCUAUCUGGCGGAGCUAGCCAGAUGGGACACCGGUCUUGUUCUCUGCGGCCCGAGUCGGCUCGGGGUAGGGUGAUGAUGGCGCUUCCUGUUGACGUGGCGGGCCUGUGCCCUAGGUUGGGCGACGUGGAGGUUCCUCCGAAGCCGAGGUCGAGUCUGUCUUCCAUGGCCGAGGCCGAGCCCGAGCCCCUGGGUCGGGCGAGGCGGAGGUUGUUCGGCAGAGGCCAGGGCGGAGUCCGAGCCCUGGGGUCGGGCGAAGCGGAGUUCGUCGUCUUCUGGGGCUGAGCCCAAGUCUGAGCCCUGGGUCGGGCGGAGCGGAGUUCGCCAUCUUCCGGGACUUAGCCCGAGUCCGAGCCCUGGGUCGGGCGGAGCGGAGUUCGCCGUCUUCCGGGGCUUAGCCCGAGUUCGAGCCCUGGGUCGGGCGGAGCGGAGUUCGCCGUCUUCCGGGCCUUAGCCCGAGUCCGAGCCCUGGGUCGGGCGGAGCGGAGUUCGCCGUCUUCCGGGGCUUAGCCCGAGUCCGAGCCCUGGGUCGGGCGGAGCGGAGUUUCAUAUGGCGCCUUUGGCAAGGCCUGACUGCCUGUCAGUCUCACUCUGUCAAGUGGCACUGCAGUCGGAGUGGCGCAGGCGGCGCUGUCCUUCUGUCAGACCGGUCAGUGGAGCGGCGAAGUGACGACGGUCACUUCGGCUCUGCCGGGGGGCGCGCGUCAGGAUAAAGGUGUCAGGCUACCUUUGCGUUAAAUGCUCCUGCGACUCGGUCGGUCGGCGCAGCGAUUUAGUCAGGGUUGCUUCUUAGCGAAGGCAAGGCCUCGGGCGAGCCGGAGAUGUGUCCGCCGUUAAAGGGGGGCCUCGGGCGAGACGGAAAUCCCUCGGGGUCGGCUGCCCUUGCCCGAGGCUAGGCUCGGGCGAGGCGUGAUCGAGUCGCUCGUAUGGACUGAUCCCUGACUUAAUCGCACCCAUCAGGCCUCUGCAGCUUUAUGCGGAUGGGGGUUACCAGCUGAGAAUUAGGCGUCUUGAGGGUACCCCUAAUUAUGGUCCCCGACAAAUAUAAAACGAACUAAAGUCCAUCCUUGGCGCCAUAAAGUCAACUGAGAGACGCCACCUAGAUCAAAUCAAACUCCUCGUUGUGUGGCUCCUCUUGAACCACCUGUUCUUCUCCUGUGGGGGGGUGUAAGACAGCAAGGGUGAGCUCACACAUGUUCAUCGGUCAACAAGUUGUGGGGAAUAAUGUGGCAUAAACUCACCAAACAUGGGAGAUCAUGUGAAGUGUAAGGCUUACCAAAGAGAAUGGUUAAAUCUGAGCAUUGCUUUUAAAGUUGGUCAAAAUUUUAUUAGCAAUUACUAGAUGUAAGUAAAUACCAAACCAUAAUAACAAUAAUAGAACAAAAUUAAUAAUAAACCCAUGCAAAUGCAAAUGACAAAUUGAAUUUAAGUUACAUAAAUUUAUCAUGCGAGAGUCCUGAGCUGCUCUUGACCGUGAGCUCGGCUAGUAUACCAGUUUUACACUCUGCAGAGGUUGUACCCUGUACCCACAAGUCAUGUAUCCCAUGUCGCCAGGGUUAGCUAGACCCUUAGACAGUACCGAGGUGAAUGGCUAGGGAUCCACUACGAGGCCUUUACAAAGUUCAACUAGCUUCCGAAAACCCGCUACAGUUUAUGGGAAGAGCACUUGCAAGAAUCCCUCGUCUGACCACCAUCGUAGCAAAAUCAACCCGAGAACCUCCCUGCAUGCAACUCCCCUACUGCCCUUUCCCCUUUUGGGUAAGGUAGACUUCCACUAGCUUUCCUAAUUAGUCAGCCAAGGGCGUCCCGUUCCACCCUUGUGGUGGCACGUGUUUCUCAAGUUAAGCUCUAUGUUUCAAUUAAAGAUAAUGAUCUUGACAUGAACAUAAAUAACAUAACAGAAUAAUUGGAACAUGGACAUAAUGAAAUAUUAACCCAAAACCAUAUAAAGCAAUGGCAAAACUACAAGUGAUUCAGAGGUAAACAAGGUAAAAGAUAAUCAGGCUAGGAUGACCUAUUGGGUCCCAUCAAACCUAUGCAUUGAAUAGUGAUAAUAAAGAACAUUAUUGGGUAAUAAAUGUGGUCAAGGGCAUAACUUGCCUGUCACUUGAGAUUCCAGGUACCAGAAUGAUUCUUCAGAUCCUCGUGACCUUACUGCUAGUCGUAGCAAUACAAACAGACAUGGUAUAGACAAAAUUAACAUCACACCAAACAUAAGAACAUACUGCAUAAUAAUGAUCUACGCGUUGCUACGAGAUCGUGGGAACGAGAACCACUAAAAUCGAAGUUACGUUAAGGAGUUAUAAUUUUAUAGAAGAUUUAUGUGAUUAAAAUAUUAAACUAUAUUAUAAAUUAGUUAAUAUAAAUCAUAUAAGAGCUUAUUCUAUAUAUAAUUAUCUCUACUUUAAUCUAAGUUAUAAAUUGACCAUAGAUCAUAUUCUAGUAGAUUAUAAUGAUAAGCAAUUUAACCAGACUAACCAACAUAAAUUAAAUACUUAUCUAAUUAUAAAAUAAUGAGACAUGGUAUAGUAAAUGUUGUUAUCGCAUAGUAAAUAUUUGUACGAGACUAACACAACUUGAAUGGAUCAAAUCAGAGUUAUAGAUUUUAAGUUAUGAAUUUCUAAAGAUUCUAUGUGUUUUGUACAAGAUUAAAUAGGAUAUAAAUUUUAAUGUGACUUUCAUGUCAAAACAGUGGCACUAAUUGAUAAACAAUAAUAUUAUAAAAUUAUAGGAACUAGAAUGAAUUAAUUUGGAGCUACAAUGGAUUUUCUAUGAAUUAAAUAAGUUUCUGGAAUUAUUUUAACACAAAAAAUCAUUUUCUGAUUGAAUUUCUGAAUUUUCAUAUGAUUCUUGACUACACGCCAAUUCCCAGAGAAGACAGGGGCCACGGUGUAAAAUGUUCUAAGGCUCAGUCUAAGUGUAGAGUGGGCUGUGGGUUAAUUAUCGAAGACUUGAGGGGCUCAUACGAAAAAGACGCACGACGAAGGGGUACAGUUAUAUCCUUGCUGUUGGAUCACCGAUCUACGGAUCAGAUUAGAUCCAAACCUUUCUGAACCGGUACACUAUCCUAUCCGCGGGAUCCGACAACAAGGGCCAGGAUUAAACGACGCUCCUUACGAAUCGGUGCAGAGACCCAGCCGUCGGAUCAGAGAACCACGACCCAGAUCGCGAAGUAUCCCGGCUGGUUCUUAACGGUCCGAUCUAGAUUGAGGGUCCGGAUUUAAACACCGAAGGGGUAAGACUCAUUCUAAUCUCCACCUCUCACUCACAAUUCGACGACGCGCCUAUGUUCUUCCACCACGCGAUGACCAGAGAAGGUGUAGCAGAUGCCCGUGGCGGCUCUCCACCAGCGUGCGGCGAAUCCGGCGACCCGGUACCCGAAUCCUAUGGACGAUGGGCGUUAUACACUAGAUAGAACAAGGCGAUCGUCAUGGAAGGUAGCUCACCAAUGAUGGCAUCCGGCAGAGUCCCGUCGUCGAGGAAGGAUGGCCAUGGCGGAAAUCCCCAGCUCUGGCGAACAAUUCACAUCUUGCCCGCUAUACACCGUGACCUCCACCACCACACACACGCUCGAUUUGAUCCCGCGAAGCUUCAAAGCCAUCUGCCGGUGCUGGAGCGACAACGCUCAAUGAUUUCGCCCGUGGCGGAUCAAUGAUGGCGGCUGCACUCUCCCCUCUGUCCCGCUACACAGGGCGUCUUGGUGGUUCUCAACUCGACUUCGUGGCUGCGCUGGUUUCGCGGGGCCGCAACGGAGAGGUGGUUGUGGAUUAUAUGCAGGUGAGGGCCAAUGACCGAGUCGGCUGGGUCAAGCAACCCGAUCGAUCUGUUAUAGGGAGAAGAAGGUCUGAUGAAGUGGUCCAAGGUGUCAACGACCCGGGUGGAGAAGAGCGCGCGCCACAUGAUUGACGGGCGGGCUCCACCCGUUCGGCACACCGAUGUGGCAGGAUCGACGGAAUUGAGUUGGGCUCGGUGGCAACUGGCUAGGCC
rnacentral:lncRNA from 1 species